rnacentral:lncRNA from 1 species
AAUUGUUAGUUUUCUUAUGCCCAUUCGCAGGAUUUCGUAGCUUUUCUCGGCCUGCAAUAUAUCCUAAUCCUAUGCCAAACCAAUAUCUCUGGAUUAUUUACUAUGGGGGAACCAGGAAGUCCCUACAGUUCUCACGACAUGCCAUUUGGGACCCCUGCUCGAUUAGAGUUCAUAAGGUGCAAAAUUCGUAUAUUUCUUUAUAUUAUUUGUAAUCUGUUGUUUCAAUUGCAGCUUCAGAGAAAUGCUCCUUUGAUCAAUUGUACCUUCAGAGAAUCGCUCCUUUGAUUCCUCAACUUACACUUUGCUCUGCAAAUGUUGCAUUCAGAUUGCAAUAUUAAGUUCCUGUCCUUCCAUCAGUACAACUGUUGCCUUUUUCAGAUUCUGAUUCUUGAUAGUUUGCAAACCACACACUUUCCGUUCUAUAUGUCAAAGAAUACAGG